rnacentral:lncRNA from 1 species
GUAGGUAAAGCUUAUAUUCAGCAAGGUUUACGUCAAAUGAAAUGUUGGUCUUUACUGUUUAACAUUGUAUCUAGCAACCAAAUGCAAAUUCAGCAACAACCACAUUCACAUGACACAAAGUUUAAUAAUCUAGUGUCCAACAAGAACAGACUUUUGAUUUUCUGUCAUAAAUGAGAAACAUAGUGAUGUGUCACUGAAUUUUGUAAGACAUAUCGAUAAGAUUUACGCGGUUUUUGACUUUGCAAGCGCCUUCUUACGCUGCCCAAGCAUGUAGGUGUACAUAUGUGGGCUUCCUGUACCCAAAGUUAAUAUGGUAAGCGCACACACACUAGGUGCUAAUGAAUGAGACAUGAAUCGUCGGCGAGGACAGGAAAAGGUACCUGAACGUAGACUAGGAGUUGUUCGCACACGAACACGUCACCGUGUACCCUCGACGCCAGGGGUGAUGCACCGCAGCUCACGUCAAAGGAGACCCGUCCGGAAGCGCGGUACGCAGGCAAUCCGACGGGCGCUUUUGUUGACCCGAAACCCCACACGCCCGGGAGGGACCCCGUCAAGGCGCAUGGUGGCUAUGGGCUACCCUAGGUCGACCUGAUCGCCCCUAGGGCCUCGAGGUUCGCCGCCCUGCAACAAGAAGAACAGACGAAGAACGAGGAAGAAGAAGAACUAGGGUUAAGGAGAAAAAAUAAAAGAUAAAAAGUGAUAGAUGAUUUGUUCGAUUGUGUGUUGUUCAAUCGGCCGUCACCCCUUAGGUAUAUAAGAGGCGGCUGGACUUCCCGUGCAAGGAAGAGGCUUGGAUUCACGUCCAAAACCCUAGUCAAAUUUGGAUUGGUUUUGUCCGAACUUUUCAAAAUUGUUCGGUUUAAACUGGCUGCACCUUGCGGGUAAUUUUUGAGGUGGUAAACGACCUCGGAUGAAAACAAGCCCAAAAGCAAUCUUGAACAUUUCGACAAGAUGAACAACUUUCAUGUUGAACACUUUUAGAUCUGAGAUCAUCUUCAAUGGCUAAUUGCUCACGCAUUGUAUCAGACAUCCAUCAACAUGUGUCUGAUGUCCAGCGUAAUAUAUUGAUCCCUAGCUGGUCCGCACCAUAUUGACUGUAAUUUUUGCAUGCGAACUCGGAUUGAGAUGAUUUAUAUAUGAAAUCGAUCGCCUCGAUGAUACGGAGACAAUUCCUUUAGAGUGCUCCUUCAUCCGAGGCCAUCUUGAGGAUGUAAUCAGCCGAAUAGUGUUCUAGAUACAAAAUCUCAGUACUUCGAACACAACUUCGGCCUUAGAGAUGAGACCGGAUGGCUAUGACCCAAAUAUCAAAGUUUCUCCUUUUGACAAUAUGGAACUUCCUCAUUUUGAGCACUUUUCCAUUUAAGGCCUUCUUAAUUAUAUUUUCGAUCAUGCCAAAAUCUGGUGUCAACACAUGCCCCCCCUGUUUUUCGGCAAAACUUGUGUGCCGAAAAAUAGCUUGCAUGAAGUUUGUUCUAAGCGCGAUGUCAACACUUCAUCGGCCAUUUGUACGUGCUUAGGAUGAUAUGUAUAUAUCGGCCAUUUAGAUUAGCAACAAAGUGAAGCUAAUUGAACAUAUGAUGAUUUGCUAAUACCCUUUCAUGAUGUAAAAAAUUAUAUUGCAUGCAUGGAUUAAAAUAAGCCCAUUGAGGGUAACCAAUCAUACCUGAUGAAGAAUUCCAUGGCAUAUGCAUCAACGACAUAGUUGAAGAAUAUGGAUAAUGUGUGGACCGAAGAUGUUGAAACCUUUGGCUUGGUCCUUCAUAGUUUUCACUCUUUUUCUUCUUCAUCUUUGCCGCACUUCGUGUAAUGGAUGCUUUCACAUAAUUCUUAUUUUGAGUACUUCCUUUAGGAACCCAUGCCAUGUUCCUUUCUUCAAGUUCUUGUGCACUAAGUUUUCGUAAUUUCUUUUUUGUCAAUAUGAUAAGCCGAGUGAGCGCCCCGGCUGUGAUUUUGUUUGAACUAAUGACAAUUCUUGUUUUACCUUGUGCACUUUCAACUUCUUUUCUUCAGAUUUGACACUUUGAUUCUCGACAAUUGAUUGCUUCAUCUCAUUGCCUUUAGUAGCCAAUGUUAACACUUUAAUUGGCUCUUUAUCCUUUAAGAUCAAAUAUGAACUGGCACUCUUGCGACCAUCUUUUUUAACUCGAUAUACUUGUUUGAUCACCUCUUCCUUCUUUCUUGAGCUCCGGACCGAUUCUUUCUUAUUGAAACGGUCUUGAACAUAUGACAGCUCACUGGACGUUGAUCUUCUUGGAGCUGCAUAACAAUGGUGAGAUGGUCUAAAAUAUGAUGGGGAAUGUGCCAUUGUAUCAUACCUGUCCCAUGAUGAAUAUCGAUCUACAUGAGCAUAGGGAGGCAUCUACGACAUUGGCAUUGGCGGCCCAAAAUAUGGAUAUGAACACGUUGCAUUAAAAUUCUCUUCUUGCCAAUACCGAUUCUUGGAUUUGCGCAUAGGGGGUGAUCUUGAUGCUUUUGUAUUAGUUGGUCGAUAAGCACAGUUCUCCUCACUUAUCUUCUGAUAUUUUUCCAAUAGUUGCGCGAACGUGACUUUCGGCUUCUUACCUUUUUGCUUACGUCGGCCUUUGUUUUCUUUGGUUGUGCUUGCACCGGUCUUUAGAUUUUCUUGUUGCCCCCCAGUCCUUGGCGUCUCCAUUGUAGCUUCGAUGUAAUUCUCGCCCUCAAGAUUAUGUUCAUUAUAUAUGCUCUUUAACAACUUCUUUACUUGAAAGCUUGAUCCCAUGACCUGCAGUUUUUACUUUCUCUUUAAAUGGAUCACCUUGAAUCAGCCGAUGCAAAAACCUUUUACCAUCGGGACCAAUUGGAAUAGACUCGUUAUCUCUUGGUGUCUCAACAAAUUUCAAUCGUCCUUUAUCAAUGGCCGAUUUAACUAUUUGACGAAACUGCAAUCCUCAAUACUAUGCUUGAAUGAAUCAUGCAACUUACAAUAAAUUCGUCCUUGGAUAGAUGGCUUGACAUGGUGAUCAAGAAUUCUAAUGUAAUUAUUUUUCAACAACAAAUCAAAGAUUUGAUCGCACAUGUUUGAAUCGAAGGUAUACGUUUUGUUUUUUAGCCGAUUUUGGUGUGCGAACGGCUUUGGAAGUAAGCAAACGAAUGGUUCAGAUUUAGAAUCUCCCCAUUCGGCUAUGCAUUGUGUUUUACACCCUAUCUCCGAUGUAUUUGGAUAAGAUAUUAUAUUAGCAUCGGAUUUCUCAAAAGAAUUUGACCUUGGCUUUAAAUUUCUGAAACGAAAAUAGUUAGAAUACACAUGUCUCAAUUGAGACCAAGUGCAAGCCAAGUAAGAAACAAGCAAAGCUACCCAAUUAGAUAUGAAAUUUUGAUAAAGCAAUGGGGAAAACUUUGGCUGCAAUAAUAGGUCACUAUCGGUCUUUAUAAAUGGCACAAUAGAUUGACCGAUAUGUUCUAUAACAGUUUUAUUGCUAACAAGUAAAUUUCCCUUCGUCAUUGGUCUUUCAAAAUUACUUAUGAGAAUUUCUCUUAUAGAAGCAUCAACAAUAAAGUGCCGACCAAAUCGGAAGAUAGGUAAAUCACUUGCUAGACAUACCUUUUCAAACACGUUGGGAGAGCAUGAUGGUUGCGUUACUUGAACGAUAGGUUGUUCCUCUUUCGAAUAGCUCCCCAACACCUUGUCAUCCUGUUUUUCUAGAAUAGAUUCAGCAUACGUAAUAUUUGAUUCGGUCUUUUCAAUAGCCGAAUUAACUUUGUUAUCCGAAUCACCAUCUUUUUUGAUAAUUUUAUCAACACCCAAUGCUUUCUCUUUUUGACAUAAUCUAGCUUGAAUUGCAGCAGAAUUAAUAGGCUUUCCCUCUUUUAUUAAUUCAUGUAGAACAACAUUGCAUUCGUCCCAAAAAGACGUAAGAUUUUUCUUAAUGUCCCAAUCUGGAUAGAAUUGCCCCCCGACACUUUUAGACUCUUUUGGUAACGAGAUGUCACCAAAAUUAUGUAAUUUUGCAAGGGAAACAUUGUAUGCUACGAUACUAGGUGAAGACACAUGUGAUCCUAUAGAAUUUUCACUUAUUCGGCUAUUAGCGUGAAGGUGCGAAGCCGAAUUAUGAAUACCCAUAGUUGCAUAUGGUGCCAAACAAUUAGUAGCAUGAGGUGUAGCAUAUGACAAUUGAGGGUAAUUGGCCGGAUAACUAGUAGUAGCAUGGCCAAUUCCCGUAUCCACCGGCAUGUUUUGAUUAACAUAUUGCAAGCUAGUUGCCGAUGAAUAAAAAAGUGAAACACUUUGUUGCAUACUAUCAGAAGUUCCUAUGUGAAGUGUUUCAACUUGAUUAACGGAACUCAUCAUGUUGUUCAUCGGCAUAUGGAUUUGUGGGGCUGCCGAUGCAUGGGAGUUCGUAUACAUAUGUUCCAUGUUGCUAAAAUUAUAUGAGGUAGAAGCAUGGAGAUUUUGUUGCAUCGGCUCUUGCACAUAAUUAGAUGCAUGAUUGAUAAAGCUAGGGCUAGCAGAUACAUUAUGCUCAUUAAACGAUCUAGCAACAACAUAUGCAUUAUUUGCAUCUACAUAAGUGAAUUGGGUAUUCAUGUUACCUUUGUAGAUUGCAAACCCUAGAUGACGAUCUCUUCGUAGCAAGAACGGGCCGGAGACCGUUCAAAGCUUCGUCCUCAGCGGAGUCGCCAAAAAGUGUGUUUGCACACGAACACGUCACCGUGUACCCUCGACGCCCGGGGUGAUGCACCGCAGCUCACGUCGAAGGAGACCCGUCCGGAAGCGCGGUACACAGGCAAUCCGGCGGGCGCUUUUGUUGAACCGAAACCCCACACGCCCGGGAGGGACCCCGUCAGGGCGCACGGCGGCUAUGGGCUGCCCUAGGUCGACUUGAUCGCCCCUAGGGCCUCGAGGUUCGCCGCCCUGCAACAAGAAGAACAGACGCAGAACGAGGAAGAAGAAGAACUAGGGUUAAGGAGAAAAAAUAAAAGAUAAAAAGUGGUAGAUGAUUUGUUUGAUUGUGUGUUGUUCAAUCGGCCUUCACCCCUUAGGUAUAUAAGAGGCGGCUGGACUUCCCGUGCAAGGAAAAGGCUUGGAUUCACGUCCAAACCCUAGUCAAAUUCGGAUUGGUUUUGUCCGAACUUUCCAAAACUGUUCGGUUUAAACUGACUGCACAUUGCGGAUAAUUUUUGAGGUGGUAAACGACGUCGGAUGGAAACGGGCCCAAAAUCAAUCUUGAACCUUUCAACGAGACGAACAAUUUUUAUGUUGAACACUUUUAGAUCUGAGAUCGUCUUCAAUGGCUAAUUGCUCGUGCAUUGUAUCAGAUAUCCAUCAACAUGUGUCUGAUGUCCAGCGUAAUAUAUUGAUCCCUAGCUGGUCCGCACCAUAUUGACUGUAACUUUUGCAUACGAACUCGCAUUGAGAUUAUUUAUAUAUGAAAAUCGAUCGCCUCGACGAUACGAAGACAAUUCCUUUAGAGUGCUCCUUCAUCCGAGGCCAUCUUGAGGGUGUAAUCAGCCGAAUAGUGUUCUAGAUACAAAAUCUCAGUACUUCGAACACAAUUUCGGCCUUAGAGAUGAGACCGGAUGGCUAUGACCCAAAUAUCAAAGUUUCUCCUUUUGACGAUACGGAACUUCCUCACUUUGAGCACUUUUCCAUUUAAGGCCUUCUUAAUUAUAUUUUCGAUCAUGCCAAAAUCUGAUGUCAACAGGAGUACCAGGAUUGAUGCAUAGAAGUAAUCAAAUGAAUAGUUCCAUUUGUUGGGCAUUCUGAUGCAGUACUUCUCUGAUGCCUGUCAUUAUCAAUUAAAUGUGAAAACAGGAAAAUUAGCAACAUUCGUACAGUUUGUGAGUGCAUUGAUCAAUUGCUCUAGUGGAUUUCAUCAGAAAAGAUAAUACCUUAAUGAACAGCAACGCAAUGUAUAUCAAGCCAACCUCGCUGCUGAUGCCGGUUGGGUACCUGCAGACAUCCAGGUUCGACUCGAUGUAAUAAUUUAUUCUUUACAUAAUCAUAAUGUUGCGCUGACUUACAAUCUGCAACCUUAUGCCGAGUUAAGCCUAGUAGCAGUGUAGUGUAGCCUCACCUAGGCCAUAGAAGCUUUGAUGGGGCAGAUCAGAACAGCUCUUUUGUGCUGAAAAAAGGGUACUUAUAAUCUGCAUUGUAAUAUUGAACACUAGAGUAACUAACUAAGUCUUCAAAAGCUGCAGAAUUUACCAUUUGUUCAUAUCAAUCAUGUAAUCAGCACAUUUUCACAAACCGUAGACCAUAUCCAUGACUUUGGCAACCUAUAAACUCAAUCUAUAUAAGUACCUACUAUUAAAGGGAGGAAGAUUUCUUACUUCUACUUUAAUUACCCCUUUAUAUCUGUUGAUUUUGUGUUAAUCAUAAAAAUUGACCGCUGAGGUAAGAGAUCUGCUUGGUUUUUCCACCCGGUUUUUCCCUCAUCGAUUUCCCCAUUCAUUAGGCCUCCUAUUGUGUAAUCUUGAAAAAAAAAGAAAAAGAAACCUCCACGAUCUAUUCUUUACGGAUCUCCAAAGAAACUCCACACCCUCCCUACUGUACCNNNNNNNNNNNNNNNNNNNNNNNNNNNNNNNNNNNNNNNNNNNNNNNNNNNNNNNNNNNNNNNNNNNNNNNNNNNNNNNNNNNNNNNNNNNNNNNNNNNNNNNNNNNNNNNNNNNNNNNNNNNNNNNNNNNNNNNNNNNNNNNNNNNNNNNNNNNNNNNNNNNNNNNNNNNNNNNNNNNNNNNNNNNNNNNNNNNNNNNNNNNNNNNNNNNNNNNNNNNNNNNNNNNNNNNNNNNNNNNNNNNNNNNNNNNNNNNNNNNNNNNNNNNNNNNNNNNNNNNNNNNNNNNNNNNNNNNNNNNNNNNNNNNNNNNNNNNNNNNNNNNNNNNNNNNNNNNNNNNNNNNNNNNNNNNNNNNNNNNNNNNNNNAUAGCAAAGUGGCAGUGCUUGAUCCCCGGAGCAGCGGCUUCGGUCAUGGCGGUGGCGGCAUCCCCUCCGCUAGGGAUGACGUGCCAGGGGUGGUGGGUCCUUGUGGCGACAUCGGUGAUGGCGGAUCUUGGGAUCCCGCUCCCAGGGACGUUGUAGGACGCGCGUGGCGGCCGGAGCUUCCCCCACGUUGACGGCGCUGGAUGCAGGAUCACGGCGAUUGUUGUCGUCGUAUGGGCAACGACAGCGGCUGGCGCGACGGUGGGUACUCCCUAUAGUGCCCGGAAUCAGGUCGACAACCCCUCUUCAUCAACGGCGGCGGACUCCGGGAUCGUGCGGACGAUUCGGAGUCUGGAUCUCGAGGUGGUGAUGGCCUUCUGAGGCUGGUGGCGAUAUGGGACGUCCCUUCCAUCAACGGAUCGGAUUCGAUGCGGCUCGGCAGGUGAUACAUGUGCAUCUUUCGGAGUUGUCGGGCGGUGCCUGUCGCCGGCAGGUGAAGCCACCGGUGGAUGUGCUACCAGCGAAUGCUACGCACAACGGCUUAUAUGGAGACGUCAAGUCAUGCUUUGCUACCGGCAGGUAAUGCACGGUGGCUCUAGCGGAGGUGUCAUGUUUAGCCUGUGGCUGUCAGAUCAAAGUGGUGCGACAGUAGCGGGAGGCAAGCGGUAUGGGAUAUCUUUGUCUUUUGUUCUCUCCUCCGGAGGUAUCCGGCUAUCGAGGUGCCGGUAGACGGAUAAGGGCGGAUGGUACAGACGGGUUCAGCGACGAGUUUAUGCACUCCGGUGGAAACACAAGAUCUCUGAUCAGACUUUGUCGUCGCACGCCUGUGUCGUGUCUUACUGAAGGUGGUGGAUUGAAGCUUGGUUUUGUGGAUGAGAAUCCGGAGUUCAACCUUGUGGUGGACCCGCCAUCAUUGGUGCACAUGCGGCGAUUCCUUCUUGAAGGCAUAGCUUAGGAGUUGUGUAUUUUUCGGUUAUGUUGUAUCUUGUAUCAUAGGGACUAGUGGCUAUCUGGGGAGGCAUUGUCGCGAGGUAUACGACCUCAGGGUUUGUUUCCCGCUUUAUUUUCGGGUCCAUUGUGUUCAGCUGCUGGAUUUUGCACUAUUAAUAAUAUAUGGCUGCAUGCAUCGUCCUGAUGCAGAGACCGGGGUUAUCCCCUUUUCAAAAAAAAAAAACAUAAACAACUCCCGACAGGUUGCCGAGAAGAACUCCACGAUAUCCUUUUUGCUUUAAGUUCGACACCCCUUAUCAUGGAGAUUAGAGAACCCCUGCUCCACAUCAUCGAGGUUCGAGGGUCCCAUACUGCCACAUUUACAAUAGAAUCAAUUCGGAAAUAUGGUGUGAUCUACAUAUAGCAGUCUCUUCCUCUUCUAUGAACAUGAUCCUCCUUGAGAUUCCGAAUCUUGAAUCCCAUCAGACCACCUAUCCAGCAUGUCAUAGGACGAAUUUACCUCACGAUGGUUGACAGCGACGAAGGCAUCUAUGUUCUUAUCGAUCUGUGUGUGCAAGAUUGAUCUGAAGAAGGGGCGGUGAUGCUGGUCCACGACUUGGCCGGUAAAACCUGCGAAGUGCUGCUGCCUAAUGCGAGACGCCGGCCUGAUGUUGAAGCAGGUCCUGAUGUCUUUUGCUCACCGAAGUACUGUCCUGGCAAGCUCCGGCUGAUACUUUUGGCCACGGUAGACUGAUAUACGAUACGAGAGACGCACAAAUACUCGAAAGCAGGCCAGAUAGAUGGAGUUUUAUGAGGCUGGCACAAGCACACACGGUUACAGCAUGUAACGUGAUAUUUUCUCCGGUCAAAAGCACCUGGCAGCGACGGGAUCAUAUAUUGCAGUGUAGAAAUUAUAGGAUGCCUGAAUUGUUGUAUUAUUGAUUGACCCUCGUAUUGUAAGCGGCGAUGGAUCGAUUCGGAGGUUAUGCUGUCAUGCAUGUUGGGAGAAAACCUCCAUAGCCUCCUGCUCUAACCGCGUACAUACCAUCUUGAACAACGGUUGGUGCUCCGGUCGUUGUAUAGUAGACCACAGACAAAGCAAGUGCGUACACCGGAAAAUAACCUGCAGAGGAGAAGCAUUUUUGUCAUUAAAACCAAAUCAUUUCUACAUAGCCAAAGCGACCAAAGUAAGGCCUACGCUCACAUCUUUAUUAGCGUUUUGAAACUAUUUGGAAUACGAUCUAACCCAUGACCAAAUAUAUUGGCAACACUUGAGGACGGAUACAAAUUUGACACUAUUUGGAUGACUGACCAUGUAGAACAUGCAAAUUUGCAUUGGAAAAAGUGGUGUUUGAUGUCUCGUCAUGAGCACAAAAGUAACACUUCUUCCCUAACCAGUUGAGAUUGUCUUUGAUUAGCAUAACUCCCCUAUGAAGAUACCACAUAAAGAUUUUAACUUUUAGUUAAAUCUUUGAGUUUCAAAAUUUCUUGUUAUUAGUCAGAAGAUGACUGACUAACGGGCUUAUAUUUUUUUAUUAAAAAGUGCUUUCGAAAUAAUUGAUGUCAAAGGAACAUGAUACGAUUGCCAACAGGUGAAAAUUGAAUGAGGAAUAACCGAAGGAAAUCAAUCUCCAGGGAGCAGAUUGUAUGUAAUCUUAAAAAGGUUAAACGCAAAGGCGUCAUUUCUAUAUGAAGAAUGGGCUGCGUCAGAGUAGAUUAACUUGUAGGUUCGAGUGGUUAGCUAGGUGACUUGAAUACAAAGCUUCCUUCUCCUCCUUCAAGAAAGAAAGUUAGGGUUCGUGUCUCUCGCCGGCACCGUCGCACGUCCGCCUCGUCUCCGGUGGCCCUAGGGCCAUGGAGGCGUGAUGGAUCCUGGCAAGGGCUGGCGGGAGGGCUCCGUUUUUAGUUUUUUUUUUUUUCAAUCUUGUUAGGGUUUGUGUCCUGCUCAAGGAGGCGAGACGGUGGCGGCUCCCUGAAGAUGGAAUAAAGGUCUCCCCGUCUAGCCCCCAUUCCGACGGUGCGUCUAGCAUCGUUGGUGGGCGUGUGGAGGUGUGUCUCCGGCAGAUCUAUCUUUGGUGGGUUUGCUCGGAUCUCGUCGUUGUUUGUCUACAUUGGCGUGUCUUUGGUUUGGAUCCUUCCGGUCUACGUUAUUCUUCAUCGGCGGCAGUUGCUGUUCUGGGGUGCUGGUCCUAUGUGGCCUUAGCACGACGACUUCCCGACUGUCUACUACAACAAGUUGUGCCCGACUCUGGCGAUGGAGGGGCGAUGACGGCGGCGCGCCUUCGACUCGCUUCAGUGCUUGUAGUUGUCGCUAGGUGGUCUACGGAUCUGGAUGUAAUUUUUAUUUCUGGUGUUCGUUGUACUGCCAUGAUUGAAGAUGAAUAGAUUGAAAGUUUUCCCGCAAAAAAAGGUUCUAGUGGUUAGCUAGACUCCUGCCAAUGCCGAAGGAAGGUCCUUGGUUCAAGUUCUAGGUGAAUCUAUCUGUUUUCAUAUCUUUUUCCCCCAUAUGCGCUUUGGUUUGUGAAAAAAUGGCAAAUUUGCAAAUAUAUUCCUAUGAAAAUAGUAAGUUCACGACCGGUCUAGGGAGCGUUGACGUGGCAUCCACGCAGCUGGUUUUUUCUCUUUCGUAUAGGUUUUGGCCUUAUUUGAUGAAAUUCAUGAGCUUAGGACCUAAAUUGAUCAUUUUUCGAGUCAUUGUUCUAGAGCAUGCAAUUAAUUUGAGUUAAUGGACAACCAGAACGUUUAACUGUUCUUCAACAUCAACACCUUUAUGAAGGAAACGGCGCUCAAGCACUGCCGUUACCGUAUCAAACCACCAAACGUGGAUUCUAGGUUUUCAUCAUGAAGAACAGGUAUGAGCAUAGGCAAGGAAUGCCUUCAACAAGAUAGUGAGACAAAAACAUCGUCGAUGCCAGGUAUAACUAUACGAGUCUGACCUAUACUUUACACCCCGAAGAUUGAGACCUGAUGCUUUAGAAGCACCAUCAAGUGGAAGUCGAUCUUGUGUUGUCGCCGUCGAACCGGACAAAGUGAGACCCGCUAAAACCCACAUAGCAGCCUUUGGGCUUCAUCCCGCAAGGUUGCACCUCAAUAGUGACCUGCACGGUGCCCUCCACAACAAAGACAAAUUGGGACACCGGCAGCCAGCCGGACCCGUCCACCAUCAGAUCCGGGUGACAUGGGCGGCUAAACAGUAGUUCAUCAGUCCCAACCAUCCGCUGCCAUCUCCGGAAGGGGACACCGCAGCCACGUGGAGUGGAUGCCACGCCACCAGCUUGACGAGAAGACGACCAUCGGGAGUAGCCGCCUUAUCCACGCCAUACUAGGCCGCCUUAUCCACGCCACCAACUUGCAACUGGACCAUAGUCAUUUUCUUCAUUAGUUGCAAGUUGAGGAUGUACUUGGAACUGACCUGAAUCUUUUUCCGCCUUAGUUGCAAGUCCACCAUAGACUCGUAACUAGACACUGGCUCGUAACUAGACACUGGCUUUUCUCGUCCUAGUUUAAAGUUAACCAACGACUCACAACUAUACAUGUUCCUUUUUUUAUCCCAGUUGCAAGAAAACUAUAUCGACACACAACUGGGCUCUUAAUCUUUUUUUGUCACAAUUUCUAGUCAACCAAUGACUCGCAAAUAGGCCCGAUCCAUUUUCUUUCCCAGUUGUAUGUCCAUCAUUGGUAUGCAAUUGGGCCUUUGAUCUUUUUUGCCCCCAGUUGCAUGUCCAUUCUUGACUUGCAACCAGGCCAGACUUUUUUUAAUCUCCGGUUACAAGUCCACCCAUCAGCUCACAACUGGGCUCAAUGUUUGUUUUGUUUUGCAACUGGGCCUGCCUUCUUUCUCCAUUAUUUGCAAGUCAACUAUUAACUUGCAACUGGGUUUGACAUUUGUUUCGCCAUAGUUGCAUGUCCACCAUCAGACUCACAACUAGGUAUUGACUUUUCUUGUCCUAGUUGCAAGUUAACCAUCGACUGGCAACUCGGCCCGCCCCUUUAUUAUCCCAGUUGCAAGAUAGCCAUCGAUCAAACUGGGUCUUGAUCGUUUUCUUUGCCGGAGUUGCAACUCAACCAACGACUUGUAACUGGGCCCAAAGUUUUUUUGUCCUAGUUGCAAGUCCUCCAUUGACAUGAAACUGGGCCCAAAGUUUUUUGUCCUAGUUGCAAGUCCUCCAUUGACAUGAAACUGGGCCUUUGAUCCUUUUAGUUGCCCUAACUACAAGUCCACUCUCGACUUGUAAUUGUGCCUAACGUUAACUUUACCCAAUUGCAGGUCCAACAUUGACUCACAACUGGGCCCGACCCUUUUUAUUAUCUCAGUUGCAAGUCUAUCAUCGACCCGCAGCCGUGUCGACCAUUUAUAUUUGUCUGAGUUGCAAGUCCAUCAUUGACAUGCAACUAGUCUCUUUCGUCGUUUUUUCUUCCUUUGCAAGUCCAUUAUUUGACUCACAACUGGGCCUGAAUUUUUUUGCCUCAGUUCCAAGUCCACCAUCCCCUCGUAAAUAUGGCCGAUUUAUUUUUUGCCUCUUACGUGACUAAGUCGAGCUACAUACUGGCACUAGCAUAUAUACAAGGCAAAGAUAUAAAGGUAUGCACGAUGAUCAGCGCAUACAAAUACGCACUAAAAAUCUAAAAAGGUUCACCAUACACUAAAGAAAAGUUUAGUUUGUUAAAGGAAAUGUUCAGCGUAUAUUAAAAAUAGUUCACCACACACUAAAAAAGUUCAGUUUGUAUAUAGGAAAUGUUUCGAAUGUUCAAAACAUGUUACCAUUUUCAAAAAUUGUUCACGAACUCAAAAAAACAUAUUUUGAUAAAAAUAUCAGGUUUUCAAAAAAUGUAUGUGAAUUUCAAAAAGUGUUCUCAUUUUCAAAAUGUGUUCAUGUUUUGAGAAAAUGUUCAGAAUUUUCAAAAAUUAUUCCCAUUUUCAAAAUUAUUCACAAAUUUUCACUCAAUGUUGGAAAAGGUUUCAGAUCUGACAAUUCAUUGAGUUAUUAAAAAUGCGCAUUGAUAAUUUGCCACCAACAGCUAUUUGUUCUUGUGGCUACAAAUACACGUUUAGUAGUCUGAGGUUGGAAGUUUGAUUCUUGAUUAGAGUGCUUUUUUACGUCUUGUUCCCAGAAGCUGGGUUGGGCAAUACAAAAAAGAAAAAAAAAAGAACAAAGAAAUAAUAAAACAGCGGCUGGCUGGACAAUAAGAAAACCAAACAGUGGGAGGAAGUUUUCAACAAGGGGCCACAAAUAGGGGUGACGUCAUUUUAGAUGCAAAACUACUACAUGAAGGACAGUUUGCCAGACGAACUAUGCACGAUGGAGGAUUGAUGGUGCUGUCUAGGUGUGCAGUACGCACGGACGGCUUGAUGAGAUGCGUCGUCCGGAAAUCGUUUUCAGACUGUCGUGUGUAUAGCAUCUUUUUAAAUGUGACAUAUUAUGUUACAUCUAGAUGAGACAUAAUCACACCAUAGAUUUUGUAUAGCAUCUCUUUUGUCAGGUACUAGUUUUGUUUGGAUUGUAACUGACCCACGUUUCUAGCUAACGGAAAUCCAACUGAACCACUAAAAGAUCAGAAGAAUAUACUCCCUCCGUUUUUAAAUAUUUGUCUUUCUAGAGAUUUCAAUAAAUGACUACAUACGGAGCAAAAUGAGUGAAUCUACGCUCUAAAAUAUGUCUAUAUACAUCUGUAUGUGGUAGUCCAUUUGAAAUCUCUAAAAAAACAAAUAUUUAGGAACGGAAGGAGUACGUACCAUUGAAGGAAGCGUACGUGCACUGGGCAACCAGGUUCGUUUUGAAUCGGAGAGCCCAAUCCGGUCCGAUCGAUCAUCGACUAGCUAGCUUGACCGAUCGAUCAAUGGCGUCGUCGUGUCCACCAUGGUCCGAGCUCCCGGGUGACAUCCUAGGCCCUCCUCAUCGACCGCCUCCUGACCGCCACCGGCCACCGCCGCAGCUUCAGGUCGCCGGUGUGGCUGCUACGGACGCUUCAAAACAGCCUGGCUCGCUUCCGCGCGUCGUGCUCCUCCCACCACCGCAUGGCGGGACCACCGCCUCUCCUCCUUACCCGAGGACGCGACGUGCAUUGGUUCCACCGAUGACUGGAUCGCCCUCCGUUGCGUCGUCGUCAACAAUGCCUCCAAAACGAAUAGCUACCUCUUGCACAAUCCUUUCUCCGAGAUGACCGUGCCGCUCCCUGAGCUAGACACUCUUAUCAGUAAUAAUGCAUCCCUGUUUUUCGAGGUCCGCAAGGUGCUCAUGCGGUCAACCCCGCAUGACGUUGCCGCUCUUAUGACCAACAACUACAAUUGCCCUAUCAACCUGGGGAAGGGUGUGUGGCUGCCGCGGCCACGAUCGGCUCCCUUCGUCUACAUCAUUGACAUCGUCUUCAUCGGAGAUAGGCUCUAUGGGAUCACCAAGGCGGACGACCUCAUAUCCCUCGAUAUCGCUUUCGGCGCCGACGGUACACCCAUCGUUACUAGAGCCAAGCGUGUCAUAAGGCACCCGUCCAAGGCCGGUGAUCGUUCUGACGUGUGGAGCAACAUCGACGUCUUCCGUGUGUGGCCAUACCCAUCGCUUGAUGAUGGCUAUGACUUGUGGAGCGAUGUUGAUGAGAAAUACCACAAAUAUGUUGCCAAGGAUAAGAGUGAACAAGAUGGUGAAACUCUAAACGGAGAACAUGACAAAGGCCGUUCACGAUAUGCGAUGACAGAGAACACCGGCAUCCACUCGAUUAGCGAAGACAUCUACUAUGACAAAUCUGAUGACCUCUUCAUCACUACCUCGCAGAUCGUCGAGUCACUUGGGAAGUUGCUCAUGGUGAGACGGAAAUUGCAUCAACCCCCGCAUAGCUACACCUGCAGCUCAGAUGUGUACGAGGCCGACAUCACCAGGGGGGCAUGGGUGCCAGUAACGAAUGGACUACAUGGCCAGGCACUCUUCAUCAGCAGAUACUUUUGCAAGUCCAUUCAUGCAUGUGGAGAGGUAGAGAAGGAUGCAGUCUAUUUUGCCCACACGGGCGAGGUGGUCCGCAUGAGAUCCAAGAUCAUAAGCCGGCCACAGAGAGAUCUUUUUUUCAGAUGUACGACGUGGCUCUUCCCCCCAGAGCCAGUUGUCUAUACAAUAUAGGAGCUUUGAUAUAUUAUACAGUACUAGUAAAGAUGUCAGUUAUUGCCUGCAAUUCUUUCAAUGUGUUCGUAACGGUAUUAGUUAUAUAAUUUUAGUAAUUACUACUCCCUCCGUUUAUAAAUGCAGAUGUAUAUAGACAUAUUUUAGAGUGUAGAUUCACUUAUUUUGCUGUGUAUGUAAUCUGUAUUGAAAUCUCUAAAAAGGCUUAUAUUUAGGAACGGCGGGAGUAUAUGUUUGUGGUAUUCCUUCUGCACCUCGGAAAUAUUGUUCAAAAUAAGUGUAGACAUCUGGUAGGUACAUUUUGGCUUUCAGCAAGGUUUACGGCAAAAAAAAAAUUGCUGGUCAUUACUGUUUAGACGUUGUAUCUAGCAACCAAAUGCUAAUUCAGCAACAACCACAUCUACAUGACACAAGAGUUUGAUGAUCCUAAACACAGCUGGUGCCGAACAAGGACAUACUUUUGAUUUUCUGACAUAAAUGAGAAAAAACACAAUGAUAUGCCACCAAAUCUUGUAAGAAGCAUCAAUAAGUUAC